CCCUUAGAUGUUCUGGGCCGCACGCGUGCUACACUGAGUGGAUCAGCGGGUCAGGUUGCGCGAAAGUGUUUCCUAAUCUUGAAAUCCGCUCGUGAUGGGGAUUGACGGUUGCAAUUUUCCGUCAUGAACGAGGAAUACCUUGUAAGCGCGGGUCAUCAUCCCGCGCUGAAUACGUCCUGCCCUUUGUACACACCGCCCGUCGCUCCUACCGAUUGAGUGGUCCGGUGAGGCUUUGGGAUCUGAGCGGAAAGAGCGUUUCGCUGUUUCUGCUCGGAAAACUCAGUCGAACCUUAUCAUUUAGAGGAAGGAGAAGUCGUAACA
rnacentral:rRNA from 1 species